AUGGAAGCUAUUAAAGGUAACUUAUUAAAAGUGCUUACUUUUGUGCUUACCUUUAAACAUAUAUUAGGCAUUAAAUGUUUGCAUUUGGCAUGUAGUACAAAUAUUGAUAACUGCCUUCUAAAAACAUGUACUUUUGGGUUUUUUUUUUUUUUUUUUGAGACAGAGUUUCGCUCUUGUUGCCCAGGCUGGAGUGCAAUGGCGCGAUCUCGGCUCACCGCAACCUCCGCCUCCUGGGUUCAGGCAAUUCUCCUGCCUCAGCCUCCCGAGUAGCUGGGAUUACAGGCAUGCGCCACCAUGCCCAGCUAAUUUUUUGUAUUUUUAGUAGAGAUGGGGUUUCACCAUGUUGACCAGGAUGGUCUCGAUCCCUUGACCUCGUGAUCCACCCACCUCGGCCUCCCAAAGUGCUGGGAUUACAGGCAUGAGCCACCGCACCCGGCUAGAAUGUCAUUUAGUGCUUCGUUCUCUCUUAGAUCUAGUGAAUGCAGGAUGAACAACAGAGGAAUGUCCUCUUUCAACGGAGUAGCCUUGAAAAUUACUACUGUUGUCCAAACAAAGUUACAAUUUAAAGACCGGUAGGAGUUUAGUUAAAAAAAAAAAAAAAUAGCACUGGGGUGAGCCACUUGGAGAGAUGAGAAGGCUUUAAAAAGGUUUCAAACGUCAGGCCACGUUUCAUUUCUUUUCCACUGUGGUUUUUAUUAAGUAGUGAAAUAAGCCCAAGGAUAUUUGGAAAUGCAAUGGAAAACACUAUUCUUGUGUCCUAUUAAUGAAAGGAAAAGAGUACAUGAUAAAAGCAGUGUCACGUCCUAACCUACCCUUUAUCAAUUCACUGCCAGAAUAUUUGUUUGGGAUAAAUGCCAUUAUACAUGGACCUAUCAAAAGUUGCUCUCACGUUUUGAAAAAUUCUUCUAUACCAUAGAUUUGCUUUUUCUUUUAGUUAUAUGAAUGUCAUUGAACAAUGGCUAAAUACAGAAUAGUUGACUUACAUUAAUCUGAAUAGUAAUAAAUGUUUAUAAAUAUGAUUUCGUUUUGUUGGC
rnacentral:lncRNA from 13 species